UUUUUUUUUUUUUUUUUCUUCUAAAUUAUCAAAAAUUUUCUUAUAAAUAUUUAAUUAUUUAUUUUUUUAUUUUUUAAAAAUUUAUAUUUAGCACCCUCAAUAUUAUAUUUAGCACCCUCACUAUUAGGGCUCUUCACUACUCCGUCAAUUUUUAUGAUUUAUAGGGUAAACUUCAAAUACCAUUUAUGUGGUUUCACACUUUCUUAUUUUAUUAUCCUGUGAUUUAAAGUGUAUCAAUUUAGUACCUUAUGGUUUCAUUUUUGUCUUUUUGUCAGCUCCUCUGUUAACAUUUCAUUAAAUUAUAUACAAAAAACUUCAGAUACCACAUCUAAGUUUAUCGAAUAUUUACUUUAAUAUCUUUUAGUUUUAACUUUGUCAUUAAUUUAACUAAAAAAAAAAUAGACGAAAAGAGAAAAAUGAAACCUAACGUACUAAAUUGAUACACUUUAAACCACAACGUACUAAAGCAGGGACGGAGCUAUGUUGGGGCUGAGGGGGGCCAUGGUCCUCCCCAUAUUUUCAUAAUUCGCAUAAUAGUUCUUUUUAUAUAAAAAAUUUUAAAAAUAUUUUUUAUUUAAUUUUAAAAGUAUGAUGAGUAACUUGUAUUUUUUAAAAAAUUGGUGCUAAUAUAAUGCUCUCUCAACUCUGAGUUUAUUUAUUUAUUUUUUAUUUAGUACUUUCAUAACUUUUAAAAUUAAAUAAAAAAUAUUUUUAUUUAUUUCUUUAAUUAAUUUUAGAUAAUGCUACUAAAAAUUUUAACAUUUUUUUUAAAAAAGGGAGAGAGAAUAUAUGUUAGACAGAGAAAGUAUAAUUAAAGAAAUAGAAAGAGAAAUAGAGUUGAGAUAGAGGGAGUGAGAGAAUUGAGAUUUUAGGAAAAAUGAGGUUAGAGUGUAAAAAAAAAUAAUACCAACUAGCCGGCGGAUAGGAAGAAAGAAAGAGAUUAGAUAUAUUAUGAUUAUCCCAAUCCAUUAAUAUGAGGAUACCUCCAGCCUCCCUCAAGGGAAUGAAAUUAAUACUUUGGGAUAAAUCUCAUUCCUAAGUAAAUCUAAUAUUACCAACUAGAUUACUUAGUGCGUUUAGCCAAACACUGUCAUAUUUUGUUAUUUCUAUUGAAUUACUAAAAAUCUUAAAAAGAUAAUGCGAACCAAACGCACCUAAAGGUUAUAUUAAAGUUAAUAGUUCUAUCAACUAAUAGUCAUUUAUUGUCACAAUUAUAUUUAGUAAAAAUUAAUAAAUUAAAUCAUUCACUGAAUUACUAUUAGAUUUAGUAAAUUUCAAAGUUAUUUGAGUGAAAUAAUAUAAAUAAAAUAAUUAGAAGUUAAGUAAGUAUAAAUAAAAAAGGGGUAAU
rnacentral:lncRNA from 1 species